UGACGGUGUAAAAUAUAUGAUAAAUUACUUAUAUGGGUAAAAUAUAUUGAUUAGUAGAAUGGUAACUACCCUGUGUAAUACGUUAAACUAGGCUAAUUGUGUAGAAAUUUUUACAUGCAACUUAAGUCCUUUCACAAUAUGGUGUCUAGAAAUACUUGAGAAAUUCUCAUUUGAAGCAUGCAUGUUCCUCAUUCUUUUACAUGAGUGCAGCUUAUGACGCUCCAAAUGAUGUACUGUACUUUUAAUCAAAUCAUCGUCAUCUUGAACUUGAAUGCUCUAAGCAUUAAUUGUUGCAGCAGUUUGGAAGUGCUUACUGUCCUGUCAUAGCUCAGCACCUUCUUCUUGUGAUAUGUUCUCCCCUGCUUCAUAAUCAUAUUGUAGAAGAAAUGCACGAACCAUCCCGCUUUCACACGGGAAAGUCCGCACCCCAAGGAGUUGUGUCACGAUCCAAUUUUGGAUUGUGACCGGCGCUUAGGAGCAAGUGCUCCCAAGUAAGCCUCAUCGGUAAUUUUACAGAAAAUCGAACAGAGUUUUCCCUAUUUUUGGACCAUCCCAAAAACUUUCCUGUCUCAAAUCAACAACCAAACAUCCUAAUAUCAUACCAAAUUAUUGACAACUUGUCAAUUAACCAAUAUAAGUCUCCACCAUAACUAAACCACCAACUAACCACUAGAAAUACAAAUUUAUCUCCAACUUUGAUAAAUGAGAACGAUACUCAACAUAAGACUAUAAUAACAAAAGAAUACUCACGACACAAUAACGAUGGAGCGACUCAGAGUUCAAUGAAAAGACCAUAACAAUAAAUAAAAUCUCUGCCCACGCGAAUUGCAUCGAGAGACUUAAGAGAAUGCCGCCCAGUGUGACAGGCUCUUGCAAGAAAUCUGUGUGCAAGCAAGAGAAGUUGCCCGUGAGCAGGGAGGAGUGCGGGACGAACUCAUGCUGGAAAAACUCGUCGACGCCGUCAAGUAUCUUGCAGACAUGGACGAACAAGUGCGAGGCUCACCGAGAAAUAUCAACCCGUGCGCUCUAAUUAACGAUAUUCUCGCCUACGUCAACUGCUGUCUCUGUAAAAAAAAUUAGCGGGGAAUGAGUCGCUAGCUCAGUGAGUAAAUAACACUUAACCACAACCGUUUUUGUUGGGGACAAGUCAGAAAACAUGCUAGUAUAUCAAACAGAAAAUAACAUAAAAAUGCCCUUUCAGAAACAAUAAAUAAUUUUCAGUCUCGUCAUGCUUUUCUUGUAGUAUAAUACAAUUAACAGUUUGGUAAAAAGCUUGGUAACCACCGUCUAAUAUCAAUAUUCACAUUUAGGAGGUUUCAAUGAACGAAUCAUGUAAUCGGUAUAACUGUGGACUUCUUCGCAAGAAGCCAAAUAUAACGGUAGUCCCUACUCGAGGGAAAUCGGUAACGGUAUGCUAGUUCUACCUUCCCACUAGCGGUGACUAUAACUGUACUCUGUAAUCGGUAAAUACAAGGUGCACCAAGUCUAACGAACCCGCCGUUAGCUACGGGAUCCUUCAAAGUCUACUCCCAUUUAUACUUGUCUCUGUAAUCCAUAUAUGCUCAUAGGAAAUAUUUUAAAACAAUAUAGGACAUUUCGGUUCUUAUCAAAUCAUAUAAUUUCAUUUGGAUAACAAUAAAUUCAAGUAACGGUAAAAUGUAUCUAGUGACAACAAGAAUAUUUAAAACAAUGGUAAUCAUAUCAAAUAACUAUUUUGGUAUCAUAUCGAGUAAAAGACUUGUCCCACAUGCAACUCAAAUUAAUCGGUAACAUAUUCUUAUUAAAAAUCAUGCAGGUUAUGAAAACACAAAUUGCUGUAAGAUUACUACUCACAGUACUCGUGCCAAAAUUCCAAAUGCUUCACCUCGAGCAAUUCGUACAACUUCCUCCAAUUCAAUCUAUAAUUACAUAAUAUCGGUGUCAUGUUAAUUUCUAUGUUUAGGCUAAUUCAUAGCUAAUUUAGAAUACCCAACCCUCGAGGUUCCAUAUUUGACUCUUAAUUCGCCGAAUUAUAUUUACCCACAUAUGAGUAAUUACUAAUCUAUCAACUCCAACCUAUUCAUAUAAUUUACCCAGUUAAUUCAUGGAAAAGUCUCAUGAAUUUCUCCCAAUUUCCUUAACUAUAUCUUUCAAAUUUUUAGUCCAACUUCAAAAUUAUAUCUACUCAGCCCUACAAAGAUUAUGUAUAUAAAAUUCCAUAGCCUUAAAAGAGGAAGAAAUACAUGUAACUACCUGGAGUGUAUUGCUGAAACUUAAGAAAUUGUAUGCCAAAGAUUAGAUGAAACACGGUCUUCAGCGGUAGAGAAACAACCGAAGCUUCUUUCUUUUGUUUUUCUAUUCGAUGGUAGGUCUAAGGGAUUUUUGUCUCAACCCUUUUCUUUUGCUUCUGUUUCAAUUUAAGCAGACUGCGUAUUCCUUUCCC
rnacentral:lncRNA from 1 species